UACGGAGGAUGCGAGCGUUAUCCGGAUUUAUUGGGUUUAAAGGGUGCGUAGGCGGGAUGCCAAGUCAGCGGUAAAAAUGCGGUGCUCAACGCCGUCGAGCCGUUGAAACUGGCGUUCUUGAGUGGACGAGAAGUAUGCGGAAUGCGUGGUGUAGCGGUGAAAUGCAUAGAUAUCACGCAGAACUCCGAUUGCGAAGGCAGCAUACCGGCGCCCUACUGACGCUGAGGCACGAAAGCGUGGGUAUCGAACAGG
rnacentral:rRNA from 1 species